rnacentral:lncRNA from 1 species
UUAAAAUGACCUGGAGCAAGCUUCUCCCUAAGGUAAGACGACAUCUUGGGUAACUCCAGCCUGACUUUGGCAAGUGAGAUUUAUUUGUCUCUUUUCCAAGAAGACAGUAUUUUUCGACUUAACUCAUCAAAGCUUAUAACCAUCCUUUAGUUUCGGAGGCAUCUUUUAUAUGACCCUUUUUCAUUGUACAGUUUCUGUGCCCUACUUGCCUCAGCCUCGUCCCGGGUCCACUAGUUCAGGUCCUGCCAUUCCUCGAGUUCUGGAUAUGACGCUCUGAAGUCACCGCCCAGGCCACCUUCCCUGCUGAACUCAGUGACCAGCAAUAAAUGGGCAAGCCAUCGUGUCUCUUUUGUUGGUGGGCUGAAAUUGGUACUUUACACGUGCUUUGAAGCUGGGAAACAUAAAGGCCAUCACUGGAGUUUGGGCUUCAGCAAAUUUCUCUCUGCGACUGAUUCACAAAUCUGAAGAAAAAAUCAUCAGAUGUAUAGGAGACACAAACAACGCUGUCGUUAACAUGACCCAAAGCACACUUCGGACAUUCCACC